UGUUGCAGAGGGGAUUAUUAUAUUUUUAUUCCAGAGUCAAUGUAGCCUUUGUAUUUUUUCCCUGCAAUGCCCAAGCUGACCCCAAAUGCAUUUCUCUAGACACAUUUCCCCACCGUGGAAGAGGUGAUGGAGUUUUACCUGGAGAUCGACCCUGUCACCCUGAACCUCAUCAUCCUAGUUGCAAGCUACAUCAUCUUACUGUUGGUGUUCCUCAUCUCCUGCGUGCUGUAUGACUGCCGAGGCAAAGAUCCCAGCAAAGAGUAUGCACCCGAGACCACACUGAAUGCCCAGCCUUCCAUCCGAGUGGUGGUGACACAGCACAGCGCUCAUGGAUCAUGGACCAGGGGACCCAGCCUUCACUUUAAGGAUCCUGCACCACUAGGGAAGAAAAGCACUGUGGUAUGAGUCUGGAUAAGGGACGUUGGGGAGAGACCAACAAAUGCAACAGAAAACAGCUGUCCCUGUUGUGGCUCUAGUUCUCCCCCAAUGCAGAUCCUGACUAGAUGACGAAACCAAGGCUCUGUCCUACUGUCUGCUUCUGGUCAAUCCCUUGGUGAACAAAGCAACUGUUUAAGUAAUGAAACCGACUGGCCCCAAAUCACACAUCUAAUAAGAGAAGUCUCCCAAAUAGAGCAUCCAACAAACCUCAUUGUUCUUCUUGCCUGCUCUGAUCCGUUCCCACAGGAAUCCAUCUUCAGGGACAUCUCCUAGCCUCAGAAUGUGGGAGGAGACUAGAGAAAACACUGUAUUGAAAGCACAGCUGUCAUAGGUCAUCCUACACCCAGUUCCAGAACAGUUAUGCAAAAGAAAGAUGAAACUAGGAGUGUCUGAAUUCUAUUGGAACAAUGUGUAAAUCUGUAAAGAUAGAUGGUGACACUGUUGCAAAAAAAAAAAAUCUCACAACACGGGGACCUAAACUCUGUACAAUAUGAAGUAGAAUAAAUCUCCUAUCAAAUUGGCAAUAUUUUCAGUGUUCCUACUACUCUGCUUUUGCAAAUGAUCACGGUAGAUGCUAGGGUGUCCACAGUGUCUUUCCAAAGAGGAAUUUAGAAUUCAGUACACAA